ACCCGGGCUGACGUAAAAGGGGAUUUCGGAGACGACCGAUCGGAGGAGGCGAUGGCGGAGGAGAAGGGGAAGACGGGGAGAGACGAACUCGCACAAUCGUUAGGGGAUGUCUUCAUUAACGUCUCCACCAUGAUCAAGGGCGAGCUUCAGGUCCCCUGCUUAGUAGUCUCUUCGAUUCCUUUCCACGACGUCACAUGUGUUUGUCUGGUUACAGAAUCAGCCCUGUUUUGAAUCAAUUUUAUCCUAAAUCCUCGGAUUGUUGUGUGUUACUUCCAUAAAUUUUGCUUCUUUCGGAAUUUUCCUUGCGAUUUAGUAGUUUGGGAAUCUGGUUUACCCUGACAGAAGGAUGUUCUGCGUGUUGUUGUGUUCGACUGUUGCGAAUUCAUGUGGAUAAAUGUCCUUGUUUCAUUUCUAUCUUCCAUUCAUGUAGAGCAUACUUUUAAAGAUUACAGAAGAGAGACUGACUGCAUUGAGUGCAAGAUGGAGGUAACACUUCCUGGGAAUAACAUAGGAAACAUCAUAUGAGAUCAUUUUGGUAUUGGCAAUAAACACAAUGUAGUGCACCAAAAGUUUUGUCCACUAACUCGACAAAAGAUGCUACAGGAUUCGGAGGAGGAAAUGGCCCUUUGUGGAGUUGAUUUCUGGGACAGGAUUAAUUUAGACACGAAUAGUUAGGAUUUGUAGCUAUUAGGUCUAAAGACAUGAUUCAAGUAUGUUGUCCAUUGCAUUUCUGAAUGCAAAAGAUCGAUGAGUAAAAUGCUUUUGUCGAUAUUGGCACUUAUCUGUGCCCGUGAUGCCCGGGUAGCAUCAAGUGGUAUUGAUGAGGGUAAUAAUGGCGAUGGGACGUCAGUUGCGUCCGGAUGAUGCCUCGUGCCUCGGUUGACCUGACAGCACCUGGUCAAACAGACCAGAACGUCGGCCGAGGCACAUUAACAUCCUGUGCAAGCCCGGUUCUUCACACCACGCCAACACCGGUGUCAGACGUUACCAGGAGUACGAUCCUGCUCCUCGCCAACGGGCACAUCAGGCAACGGUAAUUUUCCCUAUAAAUACCCUCGCGUUCAUCAGGUAUGGGGAGAACAUGAGGAGGUAAGAAAAACUCCCUAAGACUAUCCACUGAUUUAAUCGUCGGAGGGGUCGGGUCGAGCCCCCCGACCCGACCUGUGUGCAGGUGCGAAGACGGAGCGCCCCCCACCGCGCGUCCAGGCGAGGAGUCCCUCCCCGGUGAAAACAGCGGUUGCCCCAUCCCGAUCGGACCACCGCAGGCGGCCACUUCAGCAGUCUCAAGGGUCGUCCCAGGAAGAUCCCCAAUCAUUCGGAUCCGAACCCAAUCGCGUCGGCCCCGAGGCCACGGCUUAAAGUUGUUGACUCCAACAGGGUACAAAUAAUCAACUCUUGCUUCUGGAGACAAUGAACCAGAGAGUAGCUGAGGAAUACGAUGGCUACGGAGAUGUUGCAUCCAGUUUAAGACUCUUUGUUGAGCAACUCAGUGAGAAAAAUGAUGGCUUUGAAGAGUACGUCCACCAAAUUGAGAAGAUAGACCAGCAGGUUACCGAGUUUGAGGCUGUUUUAUCGAUGCUUGAUAAAUAUGUUUCUUUGUUGGAAAACAAACUGCAAUCUGCGUUACUUCAUGAUAUAAAGAAACUUCAAUCAGCAUUUCUUCAUGAUAUGCCUACUUGAGACGUGGAUAUGCGAAUUUAAGCAUUUGUUUUGUAA